UCUGUUUGACAGGUAUAGCGGAAAAAAAGUCGACGAGGAACGAGCAAAGGAAUUUCGAUUAAAAAAGUACUUGGACAAAUGUACAAUAGACAUAAAGUCAUGCGCAGCGCACGAGGUCAGUCGUGUGAGUGGUACUUGCAACAAUUACAAGCUUCCCGCAGCCGGUGCAGCCGGCAGACCAUAUUUACGAUUGCUACAACCGGAUUAUGCUAAUCAAAAUGAAAUACGACGAUCUAAGACCGGUGAGCAACUACCAUCUGCACGUAAAGUACACACGAACCUGAAUGUAGCCACAAAAUACGUUCUUGACAGGAGCAAUCUGAAUGCAGCUGCUUUACACUUUAUGGAAC